GUGAAACACUUCUUUGGGCCUCAUAAACAACCACAGAACCACAAGUUGGGUACAGAGGCAGUCACCCAAGAGCGGGUCCGGGAUAUUGGUCAGCAGGGAGGGCGAAUCGUUGUGCCUGCAAACCACAGGGUUUCGGAGGGUGGUGGAAGAACCCCUAAAUUCCCUCCCAGUGAAGAGAGAGUGAGUUUUAAAGAGGAAAGGAUGGCUUCAAACAGCAUAUUUGAGUCACUUCCUUCUUACCAGCACUUCUUGAGAGGGUUGGUUCCAGUUUCCAA
rnacentral:lncRNA from 1 species